GAUGAACGCUGGCGGCGUGCCUAAUACAUGCAAGUCGAGCGAACAGACGAGGAGCUUGCUCCUCUGACGUUAGCGGCGGACGGGUGAGUAACACGUGGAUAACCUACCUAUAAGACUGGGAUAACUUCGGGAAACCGGAGCUAAUACCGGAUAACAUGUUGAACCGCAUGGUUCAACAGUGAAAGACGGUCUUGCUGUCACUUAUAGAUGGAUCCGCGCCGCAUUAGCUAGUUGGUAAGGUAACGGCUUACCAAGGCAACGAUGCGUAACCGCCCUGAGAGGGUGAUUGCCCACACUGGCAGUGAGCAACGGUCCAGACUCCUACGGGAGGCAGCAGUAGGGAAUCUUACGCAAUGGGCGAAAGCCUGACGGAGCAACGCCGCGUGAGUGAAGAAGGUCUUCGGGUCGUAAAACUAUGUUAUUAGGAAAGAACAAAUGUGUAAGUAACUAUGCACGUCUUGACGGUACCUAAUCAGAAAGCCCCGGCUAACUCCGUG
rnacentral:rRNA from 1 species